rnacentral:sRNA from 1 species
UUUCCGUAGGUGAACCUGCGGAAGGAUCAUUAUUGAAUUUCAAGAGGGAUUGGUUGUUGCUGGCUUUUUGAAGUAAUGUGCACACCGUCUCUUCUUAGUUCUCACAUUCACCUGUGCACCUCUUGUAGACCCGAGACAAACUUAUCGAGGAAACUCGGAUGUGAGGGUUGCGGGCUUCCUCAGAAGUCGGCUUCCCUCUACUGACUCGCGUGUCUAUGUCUUUACAAACCCUUUAUAAAAAAUGUUAACAGAAUGUCAUACAACGGUUCGCCCUAAAAAAGUGAGCUUUAAAUUAAUACAACUUUCAACAACGGAUCUCUUGGCUCUCGCAUCGAUGAAGAACGCAGCGAAAUGCGAUAAGUAAUGUGAAUUGCAGAAUUCAGUGAAUCAUCGAAUCUUUGAACGCACCUUGCGCUCCUUGGUAUUCCGAGGAGCAUGCCUGUUUGAGUGUCAUUAAAUUCUCAACCUUCCUUGUCUUUAUUGAUGAGGUAGUGCUUGGACGUGGGGGUUGCGGGCUUCCUCAGAAGUCGGCUCUCCUUAAAUGCAUUAGCGGAACCUUUGUGGACCGUCUAUUGGUGUGAUAAUUAUCUACGCCAUCGACGCGGACGCUGUUAUAUGGGGUUCAGCUUCUAACCAUCUCGCAAGAGAUAACAACUUAAUUGACAUUUUGACCUCAAAUCAGGUAGGACUACCCGCUGAACUUAAGCAUAUCAAUAAGCGGAGGAAAAGAAACUAACAAGGAUUCCCCUAGUAACUGCGAGUGAAGCGGGAAAAGCUCAAAUUUAAAAUCUGGCGGUCCUUGCGGCCGUCCGAGUUGUAAUCUAGAGAAGUGUUAUCCGCGCUGGACCGUGUACAAGUCUCCUGGAAUGGAGCGUCAUAGAGGGUGAGAAUCCCGUCUUUGACACGGACUGCCAGGGCUUUGUGAUGCGCUCUCGAAGAGUCGAGUUGUUUGGGAAUGCAGCUCAAAAUGGGUGGUAAAUUCCAUCUAAAGCUAAAUAUUGGCGAGAGACCGAUAGCGAACAAGUACCGUGAGGGAAAGAUGAAAAGAACUUUGGAAAGAGAGUUAAACAGUACGUGAAAUUGUUGAAAGGGAAACGCUUGAAGUCAGUCGCGUCGUUCAGGGAUCAACCUUGCAUUUUUGCUGGGCGUACUUCCUGUUCGACGGGUCAGCAUCAAUUUUGACCGUCGGAUAAAGGCUUGGGGAAUGUGGCAUCUUCGGAUGUGUUAUAGCCCUGGGUCGCAUACGACGGUUGGGAUUGAGGAACUCAGCACGCCGCAAGGCCGGGUGUUCGCACCACGUACGUGCUUAGGAUGCUGGCAUAAUGGCUUUAAUCGAC